rnacentral:sRNA from 1 species
GACCAUGUUGACGGUGACCUUGGCCAGUUCACGGGUGUCCUUGAAGACCGUGGAAUACUGUUCGCCGGCGAGGAUCGACUUGACCGACGGCAGUUCGGCGUCCUGACC